UUCUUCAUCGUAAAAAUAGUGAAAAAUGAAAAUGUAACAUUUCAUAUGCGAUGUCAAAGGACAAAAAUUUAUCACCAUUAUUUAAAAGGAAAAUGGUUUUUUUCUAUACACAUCUCGUUCCAAAACUAGAAUAUUAUAUAUAUAUAUAUAUAUAUAUAUAUAUAUAUAUAUAUAUAUAUAUAUAUAUAUAUAUAUAUCAAACAUUAAAAUACAUUUAUUUAUGGUAUAUGUUAUCAUGGUUUUUGGGUGCCAAGCCAUUAAUUGGACUUGAACCUUUUGACCGUUGAUAUCUCUCUUUUUUCUUGGGAAGGGUAAAAGGAGAAAAACCCUUAAAAAGUUCUAGAUUCGGGGGUCGUUUUCGCUAAGGGAAGGUGUUAGGCACCCGGAGCGAUUAUGGUACUCCAUAAGAACCGUUCUCCUAAGUUUAUUUCUACGCUUCAUUUUUAUUGCCUACUUAUUGAAAGAAAAGAAGUUUUAUACUUGAGUGAAGAAUGGGGGUGAGAAGAAGUAGAAUUUUGAUUUUAUUUCGGCUUGGAGGGGUUAAAGUCCCUUGCCUACGUACCGUUUUACGGGAUCAAAACCGGCGUAGUUCUUGCUAAAAAGACUUGUUGUUUUUUGUUUUGGUUGUUUGAUUUUAAAUUUUGAAAAUGAUUUUGGAGAAAGGGAUUGAGAGGCUUCAUGAGCAUUAGAGUAUGAAAAAGUGAGGGUUUGUUUAGUGAUUUUGCAAAAAAGGUCUAAAUGAUUAGAUUUAGUUGAGAAUUUUAUUAAGAAAAUAAAAGGUGAAAAGUUGUUGGAGUUUUGACUCCAUUUUUAUGAAAAAUAUUUGAAGCGAGUUUGUUUGCAUAUUUUUUGGAAAAAAGUUGGAUUUUCUCUAAGUGUUUAAACCUAAGCAUUCAUCUAACCAUGCAAUCAUAGCCACAUAUCUACGCAUACAAUCCUAGGCAUACAUCUAGGGUGAGUGUGUGUGUGCCGGUGCGUCAUAGCGUCCAUAGUCCAUAUUACAAAAAUUACCUAAAUACAUUCUAUGGCCUCUUUGCCAAGCUACAAACCAAUGAUAACAAAUUACAUCACCGAAUGAAUUAAAACUUGCAAAAAUAAAUGCUAAGCUAAAGAAAGUGGAGGAGAUAGUGAAAUGCUAUGAAAUGUAUGGCACAUGAAAUGAAAUGGUUAGUAAUCAUAAAGCACAAAAUAGUAGGAAAUAAACAAAAAGAAAUUGCAUAAGGAUGGCAAAAAGAAAGUAAUAAAGUGGUAAAAAACCUAAAAUUUUUUGAUAUGAUACCUAAAUGUGCUUGUGACUCAUAAUCCUCACAUCAUGGCAAUUUUGAAAGAGAUUUUGUUUCAAGCUAUGACAUGAAAUUAAUAGAGACACAUGCAAGCAAAGUAUCACACCAAAUUCAUAGAGGAAUUUGACACUUUAUUUCUUAAGACAAACACUUGUUGCUUGCAAAACAAGAAAUUUACAAAAUCAUAUCCAAAAACAGCAAAAAAAGCACAUGACCAGAGGCAUAUUCAUCACAAGAUUGGAUAUCAUUUAUUCAUGUCACAUAUCAAAGUGUCAAGAACAAAAACAUAACCAAAAUAAUACCAAAAGUGUAAAAACACAUGGGAAUUAAUUCAUGCCAUUUUACCAUUUUUUUUACAUGCAAAACACCAUAGAAAAUACCGAAAAUAUAUCAAGAAACAACUAGGAUUUUUAGGAAUUUUUUUGUAAAAAAAAUGUGAGCAAGCAACAGGUUCAGAUAGCAAGAAAAACAGUGCAAAUAGCAAGAAAAAAAAACAAAAACGUAGAAAAAACAAAGAAUAAAGCCCAAGCCCAAAACCACAGGAUCCGGAUGCACAGGGAGCGUUGGAUUGAUCCAGGGGGGGAAACCCUAGAUCCAACGCUCAGGAUUGAAGGGAUUGGACCGGUCUUGAACCGGUCCGGUUCAGUUGCCUAUAUAAAUGCACUAGCACCGGUUUUUUCAUUUUUUGCAAACCCUUUCUCUCUCUAAACUUCUCUCUUCUCUCAGACCUCUCACCUCUCUCUAAACUCACCGCCGGUGAGGAUGAAGCUACGGCGGAGACCUUGAAGGUCCGCCGGAAACUUCAUCUUCUCCGGCGAGCCUAUGCACUUUCCGGUGACCUAAUUUUCCAGAAUUCAAAGAUUUUCACAUCAAACGAUUCGUCCUUUAACCCUAAACACGAAUCCAGCAAAGAUUUUCUCAAACACAGCUUGAAACGACGUAGAUCUGAAAAUCUUCGUGCGGUUUUGAAACUAAUUUUUUUGAUCUUUUUUGAAAGAAAACGUUUAGAUCUUUAAGGAUCUACAUCGUUUCGUCGUUUAUCACUUCUCUGGUGCUUGUUCUUGCUUUCAAAACUUGGAUCCUUAUGGAUCUAGGUUUUGGUGUUUACGGUUAUGAUUUUAUCUUUGUGAUUCUGGAAAUUUUAGAUCUGUUUGUUCGUUUUCAAGCAGGUUUAACCGUGAUUAUAAUUUUUUUAAAGAGAAAGAUGAGUUUUACCCGAGUUUUGGUUGAAACUUUUGAUAGGGAAAAUCUUCGGAAAACUUGAAUGUUCUUUGACGAAUCUUUGAUUUUCUCUGGACCGAAAAUAAAUCGGUUUACCGGUUCUGUUUCUUCAUCUUCUCCGAUUCUUUCUCUACUUCUCUCUCUGUGAUUACGUGCUUGAGCUUGCUUUUUGCUUCUUAGAUCUGCGUGAGAGAAUCCCUGUGAUCAGUGCUUGAGCUUGCUUCAAUGUGAGCUCGCACUUAGAAUUGCAGGAGAAUCUUCAAUCCAGUGAUGAAGAUUCACACGAAUCUCUGAGGAUUGAUGUGAAAUUCGUUGAUUUCUGAUGAACUUUUGAGUUUCUGGAAACGGUUAGGGUUUUGUGUUCUUGGUGUUCUUGAGGAAUUCUGGGGAAAUUUUCUGUUUUUGAUUCAAUUGCUGAGAGAGAAAAAAUUGGAUUUGUGUUUUUUGAGUUGGCGUGUGAUUAAUGGAUCUCUUGUUGACUUGUACAGUAAAUGCGCCUUUUAUAGGCUGCCAUGUGUGCUUCUAAACCAAUGAGAAAAUGACACCUGUCUUGGACUUAAGGACCUUGUUGCAAAAAGGAAAAAUAAAAGGACUAAACUGCAAUAAUAAUAAAAAAGGACUGAAAUGGAAUUUUCAAAUAUUUUGGACUAAAAUGCAAUUUUAAAAAAAGAGUUCUGGACUGAAAAGCAAUUUUGGACCUCUUUGAAGACCAAAAUGCAAAAAUAAAAAUAAAAUUGAAAUAAAAUUGGUAACCUGACAAAACGUAAAGUGAAACCUAAAAUAAAAUCAACAAAAGGACUAAAACGAACCAAAAACUGACAUGAGGUAUUUCAAAAUACCUCCCUGUCAAAAUUUUGACAGGAAAAGACCAAAAUGCCCCUAGGGACUAAACUGACUCAGAUGCAACUUUUUUGAAAUGAUUUUUAAACAAAGACUCAAUAAUGAUUUGUACAGACAAAUUGAAAAGACCCAGAGGCAAACACAGGGACUAAAAUGGGUUCCACUGCAGGAAAUGACCAAAAUACCCUUUUUGCAUGGUUUUUGAAAUAAAAUGCAAGAAAAGUAAUGCGACGUUUCAGAAAGUUCUUAAAUGACUUGUAAUGCAGGAAAAGACAGACAGAGGCAGUAAAAUACGUUUAAAAGAGAGUAAAGAUUCAGAGUAAAAUAAUAGAGAAUUGACAAAUAUCAGUGUUAGAAAAGAAAUUUGGACGAGUAUUUUUAGGUCCAAAAUCAGGGUAUAACAGUAUAGACUAAUGACUUAUAUUUCGAUACAACAAAAUUAACCUUACAACAAAUAAAUGACAAAGUUCAUGAUGAUAGGCUUGUUUGGACGAAGGAAAACAAUUGUGAGUAUUCUCUUAGAAGUGCAUAUAAAAUGUGUAUGCAAGAAUUACUCGAUGUUAAUCAUUUUAAGGCAUAAGGACAUUGGGAUCUGAUCUGGAAGCUUAAAAUUCCUUCCAAGGUGAAGAACUUCAUAUGGCGUGUUUGUCGCAACACUUUACCAACACAUUUACGCCUUAAAGACAAAGGGGUUAAUUGUGACCCGACGUAUGCUUUAUCCAAUCUGGUGGAGGAAGACAGUUUUCACCUUUUCUUUUGUUGCCCUAUAGCAGCUGCAAUAUUUGGAGAAUGUGUGAUUUCGUUAAUACUGCGAAUAAUGUGAUAAAUCAAGGCCAGGAUUGUGCAAGUGAUAUUUUCCAAUUGUUGCAGGUGUUACAUGGUUAUGAGGCAGCGUUGUUCUGCUGCAUUCUUUGGAGUAUUUGGAAGCAACAGAACAACAAGGUUUGGAAUGAUGUGAUUGAAGCGCAUGUUGCUGUUCUGGAUCGUGCAAAAGUACUUUUACAAGACUGGAGAGCAGCUAAAUUCUAUCAGCAACAACCUUCAAGGAUACAAAAUAACGCUGAUACUUCAAAGUGGAAGAAACCAGCUGUAGGUCGAUAUAAAUGCAAUAUCGACGCCUCUUUCUCUAAGCACUUAAAUAAGGUGGGUAUAAGAAUGUGUAUAAGAGACAACACAUGUACGUUUGUCUUAGCUAAAACUGAAUGGUUUAGUCCGAUAUGUGAAGUUCAUAUACGAAAAGCUCUUGGUUUAUUAUCUGCUCUAGAAUGGGUUCACGAGCUUAAUCUUGGUCCUAUGAAUUUUGAGAUGGAUUCGGAAAAGGUUGUUGAUAAUUUCUUAUCGACAGAUCAUGAUGCAAUUGAAUUCAAAAAUAUCAUUCAAAAUUGUCAAUCUCUUUUUAGGAAUUAUUAUGAAAACUCUAAGGUAGAGUUUGUACGGAGACAAGCAAAUGAGGCAGCUCACAUUUUAGUUAAGGCGGCUACAUUGUCAACUAGUUUCCAGAUAUUAUAUGUAAUACCUGAUUGUAUUGAGCACAUUCAAAAGUGACAAGUAUAAAAUAAGAAAGAAAAGUCAAAAGUGAGUCUUUUCGUGGAAAUUAAGUCCACAAAAGCAAAACACAUUCAAACUACUAUGCGAAAAAAAGAAAGAAUAAUUCUACGAUUAUAAUCAAUAUUAUGAAUGAGAGUUCUAUCAUAAAGAAAAAUUCAAAUGUGAAUCUGAUAAUUAUUGUCCUAUGUGUAUGGAAAAGUACUUCCACGUUGUUGGAACAUAAUUUGGUCUUGGAAAAUUGAAUUGCGUGCUUUCAAUUUCAAAGGAUGCUCACCACCCAAACAAACACGUUAAAAGAGCGAAGACUUCUUAACUCGAUUUGUUUCUUUUCCUUUCUUUCAAUUCCUCAGCUGGGAAACAUAAAAAAGAAAAAAAAGAUAAAGAUAAAAUCUACAAUUAAUCAAAUGAGUUUUGAGAAGGAUUUUUUUGUUGAGUGAGAUUAAAAUGAUUUUGGUUGAAUGAGAUGAAAGUUCUGAAAAUUGGUAAUCAGAUUUUGAGAAUUAGUUGGAUUUUUGUUUAAUGGGUUUUAUUUUGAAAAAAAAUUGAGAACAUUAUAAAAUGGAAAAAAAUCUGAAAAAUUAAUACUUCAAACUUGAGAUUUAUAGAGAUUUGAUGUAAUCUAUGUCUUACUUGAUUGUAGAAAUAAUGGGAAGAGGGGUUGUUUCAAGAAAAUGAUAGAGUUUAUUGAGAUGAUUAAGAAAAUGACGAUUGUUGUUAACAAAUUUUUAGGUUUUUGUCAUGAAGGUCAUAUUGUUGAAGAUGAUGAAGACGUUGGAGAUCAUCUUAUUUCAAUUUAGUCCAUAAUACCACAUCACACGAUCCUAAGUCAUGAACCAUUAUGACAUCGAGCUGCACAUACAGGGACCAAACUGGUUGCUUUUCCAUAUUAUUUACUUUCAAUUUGGUCUCUACGACACAUCAUUCAUUUUGUUCAGAUUUCAUGACUUCAAGCCACUUCUCAGAUUCAGGACUAGUAUUGGUAAGUCAGAGGCUCAUCUUGCUCCAUAAACAAUGCAUCAGUUUGUUCUGAUGUAAGAAAACCAUAUCUCUCGGGUUCUUGACAUAUCAUGUUUGACCUACGUGGUUCUUGUGUUAUUGUUUAAAUUAUUACCAUGACUAACUUCAUGAUCCUUCUAAACCAUUACCCUCUUUUGGGAUUUUGCCUUUUCUACCACGAAAGGCUAAAAAAAUGGAUAAAAUAAUGACAAAAUGAAUAAAAAUGACCUUUAAUGACAAAAAAAUAUUUUAAUACGAGAUCCUUACUAAAGUUCAAAGAUCAAUACUUUUUUAAAAAAUAAAACAAAAAGAGAAGUCAAGGGAUCGAUUGAGUGAUCAAAGGACAAAUACACACAUGGAUAUACUUAAGAGACAUUUUAUAUUCUAAUUUUAUAAAGGAUUUGGAUUGAGCUUUAAUUGUUUUAUAUUAUAAAAUGAUGAAAUAAUAUUCCAUUGAUUACAUAAAAAUGAGAAGAAAUAAAAUAUGGGUACAAUUCACAAGUUUUUAUAUGCUAUGAUCCUAUUUAUUCAUAUAACUCUUGUUGUAAGUGGAAACUUUUUUGAAUUCUUUCACAAGUGCACUCAGGACAGUGAUUGUCCAUCUCUUUUAUGUAGAAACAAGUCUGAAUUACCAAAAUGUAUUGCUGGGUUCAUGUGUCGUUGUCCUAAUGUUUAGUAGGUUAGUAAAGGAAAUAUGAUUCUAUAAUGUUCCCUCAAAAAAUGAUUCUAUAAUGUAAUCAUUUAUCAUUUAUUCUAGUUUUUUGAUACAGCAUAUUUAUCCUUUAUCUAUAGUCCUACAUUUCGCAAGUGAACAUAUAUUAUCAAGCAUUUUAAUGGUAUUAUCAUUUUCUAUUAUGCAUACAAUUAUAAGCACACAACUAAUGAAUCUAUUAGAUAUUCAUUUUCUUUAUAAUAAAAGAAAUAAAAUACAGCAGCUACAUUCAUUAUCAAUUGAUCAUGUUUAUCGGACCUAAGCAUCAACAAAUGGACCACAACAUUAUUAUAUUUUAAUAAGACCAAAACCUACGGUUGAUUGUAGCCGACAAAAUAAUAAUAAAAAAAAAUCUGACACUAAAUCCGAGUCGUCCUUUGUUUUUCGCUCGCCCCAAUUUAUCGAAUGAAUUUUGCGCUUCUUUUCAUUUGUUCCCCGCCAAAACUAAGUAACCAUGCCUCAAUGUCUCUGCAGCAUCCUUCUAAAAUCUUGGAGUACCUUAUGACAGAAUAAUAGUACAGAACAAACAUUAUUUGAAAAAAAUAUAACAAGUUUUUUUAAGCAUUUUUUAUUCUUUUUGGAUAAUCAGUGUAACAAACCAACAUUAUUUGGAUACAACUAAGGAAGCAUUUUAUUAAAGUACUAUUUUUCAUUGUCAAAAAAAAUUAUGUUGAGUUUUUGGCUUUUUUUUACUCUCUUUUGCAUGUUUAUACUCUUACAAGGUGCACUUAGACAUUAUACGUGCACUUCAAGUAAUUGACAUAACCAAAAAUUUCUUUAAUUUUAUUUGUUAUUUUUAUCCCUCUUAUUUUAUGAAUCUUGUUCUUUUCUUGCACCAAAUUACGACUCAUAUCUCGUUACUGUGAAGAGAAUCAUUGUUUUAUUAAUUUUCCUUUAUUGUUACUUUAUCCUUGGACUCAUAUUCAGACUCUCACAUCUCACGUUAUACUUUGUUUUUGUUCUUUUGGAAAGAUUAGAAUAUUUGUCAGUUAAAUUACUCUUCUUGUAUCUAUAAGACACACAUUCUAUUAUGAUGUUAAAAUAUACAGAUAAACGAGACUGACGCGGUCUCAAUCGUAAUUAAAAUAAAAGUCGCGGAGACCUCUAAAACUUUUAUAUUUCGGGCUGAUUUUUUUUUAACUAUGAUUCAUACAUUAGUUGCGAAAGUCAAGAGAGUGUUGCAAGGCUAUGGUGUGAUGGCUGCAUCUGAGGAAGAAGUGAAGCUUUUAGGUUCUGUGGGAAGCCCAUUUGUUAUUCGAGUUCAAAUUGCCUUGGAAUUGAAGGGUAUUGAAUACAAAUAUUCGGAAGAAAAAUUGGGUAACUUGAGUGAAACGCUUCUCAAAUACAAUCCAGUUUACAGGAUGGUUCCUGUUUUUGUUCAUAAUGGAAAUCCCAUCUCAGAGUCUCGUGUGAUUCUUGAGUACAUCGAUGAGACUUGGAAACAAAAUCCUAUCUUGCCUUCUGAUCCUUAUCAAAGAGCCUUGGCUCGUUUCUGGUCUAAGUUCAUUGAUGACAAGGUAAGUAACUCUAGUCUCUUCAUGAAAUUAUGUUGCUUAUGAACUAUAAAGCAUCGACGCUUCUGAUUGAAGGCAUGUCUGGUGUUCGUCACAUGCCAGUGUCUAUUAUGACAUCUGUCAUAUGUAAGUGUUAGUAUCAUGUUUUAUAUCUUUCUAAUUAUUUUCUGAUGUAUAUUAAUUUAAUUUGUGAAAUCAGUGUGUGGCUGCUGCAUGGAUGUCGGUUUUUAUGCCUGAUAAGAAAGAACGCGAGAAAGCUAGUGAAGAACUAUUGAAGGCUCUACAGUUUCUUGAGAAUGAGUUAAAGGACAAAUUCUUUGGAGGACAAGAAAUCGGCUUUGUGGAUAUUGCCGCUCUCUUCAUCCCUUUAUUCCAAGAAGUAGCAGAGUUGCAGUUGUUCACAAGGGAGAAAUUUCCAAAGCUAUACAAAUGGAGUAAAGAAUUUAACAACCAUCCAAUAGUCAAGGAAAUUAUGCCUUCAAAAGAUCAACAAUUUGCAUAUUUCAAAGCUCGCGCUGAAAGCCUUGCUGCUGCAUCAAAAUAGAGUUAUUAGUUGUUUGAAUUUCAUUUCAAAUGGAAUAUAAUCUAUGAUUUCUCAUGUGUAAUAAAGAUCCUGAAGUAUUAUUGUCACUCACUAUUUUAAUCAAUGAAAGACUGUUGCAAGUUUAAAAAAAAAAAAAAGGUUUUUGGUUUUCAGUUGAGUUCAAUGUUUCCUCGUGAAGGGGCAACUCAAAUGUCGCAAUUAGGCAACUAGGGACGGAUUGCAAUAAAGGAAGAAUUUCCAACACAUCCCCUCAUGAUUGGACCCAAUAGGCCUGAAGCAUGGCAAUGUGGAAUCCCAAUGGUAGGUCUUGGAUAGGCUCUGAUACCAUCGUAGAGUAGAAAUUGUCGAUGGGCCUAACACAACCUCACAAAACCGGCUUGUGAGGUGAGGAUUUCCCCCACUUAUAAACAGAUUGUUAGACCAUCUCUUAUCCGUUGUGAGACUCUUUAACAUAUUUUGAUUUCUGAUCAUAGUUAAUAAGACUAAAAUCAGUCACUACCUUCCAUUAGUUGAAACAUUCGCUUGAUUAUGAAGAAUAUAGUGGAUAUUGUUAAAGUUAAGAAUCUUUAGAUAUUCCUUUGAUUAUACAACUUCCUAGAUUGAUUGUAUAACUCCUAGAGUAUUUAACUUCCUAGGCUAGUGCUUACUAAUUAAGCAUUCAAUGCACUUAUUGUAAAACCAUUAUAAAUACAAGUUGUGUGAUCUCAUUAUAGACGCACAGAGAGCUUACACGGAUUUCACAUAUUUUACAGAUAUAAUAUGUAAAUCAUGUAGCCUAGUUUCAUACAGGGGAACAAGUUAAUUUGGAUUUAGGGUUAGGACAAAUUUUGCAUAUAAAAAAUCAGAUUACAAAAGAAUUUACAUAUCUUUGUUAUCCGAAACAAAAGUUGAUUACAAGCAUUGCAAAAUCAGAGCUAUGACAACAAUAUCCUUAGAUUUCACAUGGAGAAAUCUCACAUUAUAAAAUAUUAUUCAGAAAUGAAAUCCUAACAACAAGAACUCAAUAACAGAUAAGAAUUCAUAAACAUAAAAUUCUGACUCUCGAUAUUCUAUAUCAGCAGUACAUUGAUCUAUUUUGAAGCAGCAAGAAGGCUCUCAUAGCGACCUUUAAAAAAGGCGAAAAGAGGCUCUCUUGGAGGAAUAGUUUCCUUCACAACAGGAUGGUCAAGAAAUUCUUGACUCCAAUUGUAAAGCUUUGGAAACUUUUCAGCUGUGAACAAUUGCAACCCUAUUAUGUCUUGAACUAGAGGGAUCCAGAUGCUACGAAAACAGCAGCAAUAUCCACAAAGUUAAACUCUUCUCCUCCAAAGUACUUACCCUUCAGCUCAUUCUGAAGAAACUGAAGAGCCUCAGUUGUUUCUUCGACAUUCUUCUCGCGCUCUUUCUCAUCAAGUGUAAAAACGGAUUUGGAUGAUGCGGACACAAUCUGAUCAAUUCACAAAUUGAAACAUUUGAUUAGUACUUAUGCUAGAAACUUAAAUAACCAUCACAAAAUACAAACACUUACUCCCCAAUGUUAUAUACAUGUUUUAAAGCUAAGUUUUCACAAACUAAGAAAUGGUUUUGAUUAAUAAGAAAAUUUUAAAUAUAUUCUUACCUUCUUAUCGACGUAAUAACCAAAAAUAGAUAAAAAUGAAUAAUUUUCUAUGAACACGACAAUUAAAAAGAAACAACAAUAGGGAGCAACGGUUUAAAUAAAGACUUGCGACAGCUAUCUAGCUUGUGACAUAAUGGUUGCAUCAGUUAUAUCUAACCGCGAUUCUACGCAAUAUUAAGGAUCGCAACACGAAGACAACGUGUUAUAGGAAGUACAUAUACUAAAAAAAAUACUAAAAGAAGAAGUUACCUUGUCAUCGAUGAAUUUCGACCAAAAUCGAGCCAAGGCUCUUUGGUGUGGAUCAGUUGGCAAAAUGGGGUUUUGCUUCCAAACCUCAUCAAUGUACUCAAGAAUCACAAGAGAUUCUGAAAUGGGCUUAUCAUUGUGAACAAAAACUGGAACCUUCUUAUGAACUGGAUUAUAUUUAAGAAGAAGUUCACUCUUUGUGGCCAAAUUUUCUUCAAGAAAUUCAUAUUCAAUUCCCUUCAACUUUAGAGCAAUCUGUACCCUGCACACAAAUGGGCUUCCAGUAGCUCCCAAAAGUUUCACAUGUUCCUGAUUUGUAGCCAUUGCAACACUUAAAUUUUCUAUGACUUUGAUAAUUGGUAUAAUAAUUUGUUUUGAUGUUUGAGUCCUAAGGUUUUGUGGCCUUUUAUAGAGUUUGGAAUGUUAAUUUAGUAAUUUUCAAUAUAGAUAUACACAUGAGGUGAGAAUAAUCCGUACACUAAAAUAAAAGGGAAAAUGAUGAUGCCUUCCUUAUCAAGAUAAUGGAGAAUAAGUGAUGUAAGAGGUUACAACAGCAAUAUAUAUAUAUAUAUAUAUAUAUAUAUAUAUAUAUAUAUAUAUAUAUAUAUAUAUAAAACUAACAAAAUAAUAAUUGAAUCAAGUGGGAACACUUAGAUUAGGGACGUUUCUAUGAAAAUGGAGGCUCGACUCUCAAAUAAAAUUACGAUUCUAGUAAAAUAAUAACACAAUUUUUUUAAAAGAACAAUCAUCUAUUUUAAAUUGAAAAUAAAAUCCAUAAACAUAAAAAAUAUUCAUCAUUGUUAAUAAUAUAUAGGAUUUACGUUAGACACAAGAUAUUUUGGGGUGUCAUAAAUGAGAUUUCAAAACAUUAUAUUAUAGUGAUUUUGGAUACCAAAAUAGUUGUGAUGCCAACCUCUAUAACUAACCCACGUCUCAUUCAUCAUUUAUAAAAUAAAUUAUUAACUACUAAUGUAUUAUGUAAAAUGUUCUUUCUCUCACGUUUUGUCUACCACUCAUAAAAUAUCAGGAAUGGUCUGAUGGGCAUCAUUGUCUAUUUAUUCAAUAAAAAGUUUCCCCUUCCCCAAGUUAUGUAACCAAUAUAUUGUCUUGAUCUCUUUAAUGACACUGGUUUCUUGAGCAACAAACUCGCCAAUUGACUUAAAUCUCGGAUCGCAACAAGACUGAUACGAUCCAAUUUAAGUAGGGAUCACACUCUUAGAAUUUACAGAUAAAGAAGAGAAUUGACUAAUUUCAUAGAUGAUUGUAAUAAAGAAAGUGCAGGAAUAUGCAAGAUUAUUCUAGAUAUUUUAAUUAAUUCAUAACAAACUAAUAAGUCAUCAAUCUUAUAGAAGUAAUGAGUCUCUACUUUUAAUAGUAACAUAGUCAUCCCACUUCUUAGGUUCAAUGAUGGUCCUUUUGGCUAACUCAUAGUCAGUAGUCUUUAAUCCCGAAUUAUGGCAGCUUAUAUCUUUGUUGAUGCUAGAAGAUGGUUCUUUUUUCAAGACAUUCAGCAUUGCAACCCAGUGGAUUCACAUAAUAGGAAACUUGUCAGUUAAAUUACUUUUGGUCAAAUGCAUCUAAAAGUCCUUUAAGUUUUUCGUUUUUCUCAAAGUGGUCCUUUAAGUUUCAAAAGUUCAAAACAAGUCAUUUUAGUUUUUGAAUCGUUUCAAACAAGUCCUUUUAGAGGAUGAUGGUGAUGAUUCAGAUGAUAGCAACAAAGAGCAUUAUCCACCAUCUGCCAUGCCUAAAAAGAUGACUAAUUUGAAGUGGGUGUUAGGAGCCAGAUUUGGUAUCAAAGAUGAGUUCAAGGAAGCAAUUACCAACUAUGCUAUCUACAAUAGGACUUGUUUGAAACGAUUCAAAAACUAAAAGGACUUGUUUGAGACUUUUGAAACUUAAAAGAUCACUUUGGAAAAAACGAAAAACUUAAAAACCUUUAGAUGUGCAUUUGACCAUUACUUUUCUUGGAUCUAUAAAACAAAGACAUUCAAUUAUGGUUUUAAAUUGGAGUUGCACUUGGAACUUUGAUAUUGUGGCAAAAUGCUGAUAAAUGCUGUUGAUGCAGUCUAAAUUAUGUUUUAAAUACGAUUGCAGAGACCUCUAAAACUUUUAUAUUGCGGGCUAUAAUUUAGAACUAUGAUUCAUAUAUUAGUUGUUAAAGUUAAGAAGAGAGUAUUGCAAGGCUGUGGAGUGAUGGCUGCAUCUGAGGAAGUAGUGAAGCUUUUACGUUCUGUCUGUGGGAAGCCCAUUUGUCAUUAGAGUUCAAAUUGCUCUAAAAUACAAUCCAGUUUACAGGAUGGUUCCUGUUUUUGUUCACAAGUGAAAGCCCGUAUCGAAGUCUCGUGUGAUUCUUGAGUACAUUGAUGAGACUUGGAAACGAAAACCUAUCUUGCCGAAUGAUUCUUAUCAAAGAGCCCUGGCUCGUUUCUGGACCAAGUUCAUUGAUGACAAUGUAAGUAACUCUAGUUUAUACAUCAAUAUUCUUCAUGAAAUUAUGUUGCUUAUGAACUAUAUAUGGCAUUGACGCUUCAGAUUGAAUGCAUGUCUGGUUUUCGAUGCUUAAUGUGCUCCCUAUUCAAACUAACAAUGAUUAAUCAUUUGUUAUCCUUCUUGUUAACAUUACUAUGUGCAAGACUAAUGUGCUCCCUAUAAGGCUAUAACUCUUCUUUGUUAAUCUUUUUAUGUUUCAUAAUCAUUAAAAUUGACUCAAUGUAAGGUUGUAGCUACGUAUCAAGAUUCAUAACCAUUAUUUAGGAUAAAAAAAACACCCUUCUCAUUAUUAAUUGAAGUAUGAAAAAUGACAACAAUAUUCUUAGAUUUCACAUGGAGAAAUCUCACAUUACAAAAACAUUAUUUAGAAAUGAAAUCCUAACAACAAAAACUCAAUGACAGAUAAUAAUUCAUAAACAUAAAUUCUGACUUUCGGCACUCUAUAUCAGCAGUGCAUUGAUCUAUUUUGAAGCCGCAAGAAGGCUCUCAUAACGACCUUUAAAAAAGGCGAAAAGAGGCUCUCUAGGAGGAAGAGUUUCCUUCACAACAGGAUGGUCAAGAAAUUCUUGACUCCAAUUGUAAAGCUUUGGGAACUUUUCAGCUGUGAACAAUUGCAGCUCGGUUAUGUCUUGAACUAGAGGGACCCAAAAUGCUACGAAAACAGCAGCAAUAUCGACAAAGUUAAACUCUUCUCCUCCAAAGUACUUGUCCUUCAGCUCAUUCUCAAGAAAGUGAAGAGCCUCGGUUGCUUCUUCAAUAUUCUUCUCGCGCUCUUUCUCAUCAAGCGAAAAAACGGAUUUAAAUGACGUGGACACAAUCUGAAGAAUUCACAAAUUGAAGUAUUUAGUAUAUUAUUACUCAUUUUUUCGCUCUUUACAUUAGUGAAUUAAUGUAAAUGUAAAAUAAUUACCAAAGUAUUGAUAUAAUUGAUAAGAAUAAAAAAUCUUAAAGAGGAAGUUACCUUGUCAUCGAUGAAUUUUGACCAAAAUCGAGCCAAGGCUCUUUGGUGUGGAUCAGAAGGCAAAAUAGGGUUUUGCUUCCAAACCUCAUCAAUGUACUCAAGAAUCACAAGGGAUUCUGAUAUAGGUUUCUCAUUGUGAACAAAAACUGGAACCUUCUUAUGAACUGGAUUGUAUUUGAGAAGUUGUUCACUCUUGGUGGCUAAAUUUUCUUCAACAAAUUCAUAUUCAAUUCCCUUCAACUUGAGAGCAAUCUGUACCCUGCACACAAAUGGGCUUCCAGUAGCUCCCAAAAGAUUCACAUGUUCCUGAUUUGUAGCCAUUGCAACACUUAAAUUUUCUAUGACUUUGAUAACUGGUAAAAUAUUUGUUUUGUUGUUUGAGUCCUAAGGUUUUAUGGCCUUUUAUAGAGUUUGGAAUGUUAGGUUUGUAAUUUUCAAUCUAUACGCGUU
rnacentral:lncRNA from 1 species